UGCUAAACUUUUAUAUCGCGAACAUCAGCAUUACUUGUAUACUUACUAAAAAUUCAUAAACAAUUUGGUAAUUAAUCAUUGAAAAUAAUAAAGUUAAUGCUUUGUAUAUACAUUCUAACAGUCUAAAGUAGAGAUUGGAAGAGAAAAAGUUAAAGAUUGAAUGAGUGUUUAGUCAAAUUGAUCGACAUUAUUGAAAACCAAGAGAAAUCGAUCGAGCUAAAUAACAUUGAGCACUUGAAUAAUUAUAAUUUAGA